rnacentral:pre_miRNA from 1 species
AUAAUACUCCCUCCAUCCAGAAUUACUUGUCAUCAAAAUGGAUGUGUCUACAACUAAAAUACAUCUAGAUACAUCAAUUUCAAUGACAAGUAUUUUUGGACGGAGGGAGUAGUAG